GGAGGACUGGUUAAAAGUGUUUUAACCCUGACCUGCCUUGUAUAUCCUUGACUGAGCAUUAUGGACUAUUCACAAUGCUUAUGGACUCCAUGCUGAAUGGUAGUUUUUACACUGCCUGUUCAGCCGGGGGGGUUGUGUUAGCACUCAACCCAUGGCAUUUUGUUUCUUCUCCACUGGUCCUGCUACAAUGUGAACCCCCGAGAAACCUGUUUGUGAAUCUGGUGAGCCGGUCACAGCCUGGUCUGAGUCAAUCAGGGCUGGAGUUCAACAGAAUGUGAUGAGCUGAAGGUGCCUUGCAUCAUCAAAGCCUCCAACUCCACACAGCCUGGGGACUGGACCCUGGAGCGGUCUGUGGAUGGGGUGGAGUUCUGGUCCGGGCAUUACGGUGCUGCCUGCGGUCCUGAAUGCCUGGUCUACUACAAAGUCACACCCCCAAUGCACACUGAGGUCAUCUGUACCAGAACAGAAGCCAUACGGUCAUGGCUUCUGUUAUGUGCCACAGAAGCCAUGACCGUAUCCAAAAUUGCAUGCUACAUGCAUAUAUACAGUAUGUAUACCGUCAUUAGACGUAGAAGGACAUCAUCACUGACGUGCUACUUUCUGCACUUUGCACCAUAAAUGUGUGCGACUGUUGGUUUUAACUGCUUUUUGUUACGCAUUCAACUGCCAUUAUUAUUUGAUGUCUGAUUGCUUGGAUUGUGAACUAAGUGUGAUACAUAACACAUACUUGCACUAUGCCAGCAUAGUGUCCAGUGUUUGCCGGAUGUAGAAUGACGUCCAGGUGUUUUUUGCGCACACUAUUUAAUGCAUAUUAUAGUUUCCGACAUACUAAAAAUGGAUAAACCCAUGUCUCUGCUGAUUGCUAGAGGGCAGUGUGGAGUAGUCAUUUGGGAUAAGGCUCCCUGUAUUUGAAUCCUUGGAUUGACACGGGAUGUUCAGCUGUGUAAAUGGACAAUAUUCGAUGUUUGGUGUGUGAAAGAUGAACAGGAUCCAGGCACCUGUUGUACAAA